CCUACGGGAGGCUGCAGUGGGGAAUAUUGCACAAUGGGGGAAACCCUGAUGCAGCAACGCCGCGUGAGCGAUGAAGGCCUUCGGGUCGUAAAGCUCUGUCCGAAGGGAAGAGUACUGACGGUACCUUAGGAGGAAGCCCCGGCUAACUACGUGCCAGCAGCCGCGGUAAUACGUAGGGGGCUAGCGUUAUCCGGAAUUACUGGGCGUAAAGGGUGCGUAGGCGGCCCUUUAAGUCAGAGGUGAAGGGCUACGGCUCAACCGUAGUAAGGGUUUGAAACUGUAGGGCUUGAGUGAAGGAGAGGAGAGUGGAAUUCCCAGUGGGACGGUGAAACGCGUAGAUAUAGGGAGGAACACCAGUUGCGAAGGCGGCUCUCUGGACUGUAGCUGACGCUGAGGCACGAAAGCGAGGAGAGCGAACAGGAUUAGAUACCCCGGUAGUC
rnacentral:rRNA from 1 species